GAGAAGUCCACUGAACCUUAUCAUUUAGAGGAAGGAGAAGUCGUAACAAGGUUUCCGUAGGUGAACCUGCGGAAGGAUCAUUGUCGAAACCUGCCCGGCAGAAAGACCCGCGAAC
rnacentral:rRNA from 1 species